GGGAUUUGAAAUGGUCAGUGAUCUGUUUGUUGACUUGGCUUUAGAAGACUUUAGAAACGCAGGGCAGGAGGGAUAUAGGUCUGUAACAGUUUGGGUCUAGAGGCAGGGCAGGAUGGAUAUAGGUCUGUAACAGUUUGGGUCUAGAGGCAGGGCAGGAUGGAUAUAGGUCUGUAACAGUUUGGGUCUAGAGGCAGGGCAGGAUGGAUAUAGGUCUGUAACAGUUUGGGUCUAGAGGCAGGGCAGGAUGGAUAUAGGUCUGUAACAGUUUGGGUCUAGAGGCAGGGCAGGGCAGGAUGGAUAUAGGUCUGUAACAGUUUGGGUCUAGAGGCAGGGCAGGGCAGGAUGGAUAUAGGUCUAUAACAGUUUGGGUCUAGAGGCAGGGCAGGAUAGAUAUAGGUCUGUAACAGUUUGGGUCUAGA
ensembl:lncRNA